UGCUGGAUCAAAUGGUAGAUCUAUUUUUAGUUAUUUGAGAAAUCGUCAUACUGUUUUCCACAGAGGUUGUACUAAUUUACAUUCCUAUUUUUCGAUGAACUCAGAUGAAGAAAGUUUCUUAACAAGAAUUGAUUUGGGGACAUGUUUGUAUUUAUUCAGCUGCUCCCAUUACCAGAUCAAUGAACCGUUCUAGAGACUUCAAAUCCAUUGAGAUGGGAUUAAUGCAUUUGCCUACUCAGGCAGAGGACAGAAUGACCACUGCAAGUGUUCAUCAGCAUUUUCCUGCUCUUAGAUGGAAAGGCCAAGGCCACCCCAAGCAUGCUGAAAUUAAUGGGCCAUUGUCAGGAAGGAGUUCACAACUGCAUAUGGAGCCAGGCUCUGAUAUGGUUUGGCUCAGUGUCAUCACCCAGAUCUCAUCUUGAAUUGUAAUCCCCACAUGUCGAGAGAGAGAGGUGAUUGGAUCAAGGAGGUGGUUUCCCCUCUGCUGUUCUUGUGAUGAACAAAUGGAGAGACCUCCUUUAGUCGAUUGAUGGUAGCAACAAGGAAGACGGCAAAUGGAGAAAUGACAUUUCAUGACCCAGGUGGAUCAGCAUCUGCAGUUUAACAAGCUCCCGAGGGGUGAGUGCACACGAAGGAUUGAGAAGUAUUGCUCCAAAUAACCAGACC